UCCCAGUCCAUAUCAUAAGUUUUUACCUAUAAUUUUUCACUCUUCGUCUUAUUUAUUUUUUUUCGAUUGAUAUUUUUGUUUUUAUUAGAUGAUAAAUCAUAAAUAAUACUUUACAUGUGACUAAUUUUUUUCUAAUUUCUUGAAAAUUUUUAAAUAAGACGGAUGGUCAAACGUUGGACACGAAAACCGA
rnacentral:pre_miRNA from 1 species